UACGAGGGGGGGCAAGCUUGUUCGGAAUUACUGGGCGUAAAGGGCGCGUAGGCGGCCGCCUAAGUCAGAACGUGGAAAUCCCCUCCGGCUCAACCGGGGAACUGCGUCUGAUACUGGAUGGCUUGAGUUCGGGAGAGGGAUGCGGAAUUCCAGGUGUAGCGGUGAAAUGCGUAGAUAUCUGGAGGAACACCGGUGGCGAAGGCGGCAUCCUGGACCAAUUCUGACACUGAGGAGCGAAAACCAGGGGAGCAAACGGG
rnacentral:rRNA from 1 species